rnacentral:lncRNA from 1 species
UACUUCUUUAUGUUUUGUUCUUUAUGUGUGUUUUCCUAAUUCUUAACAUGCAAUUUAUGGCUCAUUGUGUUAUGACAUUGAGUCUCAAAUACCCGAUGUAGCAUACCAAUGGUGUUUUCAGUCUGUAUUUUGUUAUAAACCCUAUUGUACUGUAGGAAAACAACUAAAAUAGAAGCAUUUUUAUCUUUUAUCAAAAUUUGUUCCUCAUAUCCUACCAUGUUUGCAUUCUAUCUUCCUUCUUCUUUCUCCUUUUUAGCUGGAUUUUAUCCUAAGCUUCUACAUUAGUUAAAUCUCCAGCAAUUCAGAUUCACCACAUCCACUUUUUCUUGACGUUCUUAGCCACAAAUGAGUUACAUAGUCUCAUUGGAGAAUACAACCUACUUGGAGAAUGGAACUCAAAACUAACUCGUAAUAUUCUAUGAGGCUCCAAUUUUGAAUCUAACCUAUUAAAACAGAAGUACAACUAGUAC